rnacentral:rRNA from 1 species
AGCGAACGCUGGCGGCAGGCCUAACACAUGCAAGUCGAACGAAGUCUUCGGACUUAGUGGCGGACGGGUGAGUAACACGUGGGAACGUACCUUUUGGUUCGGAACAACUCAGGGAAACUUGAGCUAAUACCGGAUGAGCCCUUAGGGGGAAAGAUUUAUCGCCGAAAGAGCGGCCCGCGUUAGAUUAGCUAGUUGGUGAGGUAAAGGCUCACCAAGGCUACGAUCUAUAGCUGGUCUGAGAGGAUGAUCAGCCACACUGGGACUGAGACACGGCCCAGACUCCUACGGGAGGCAGCAGUGGGGAAUCUUGCGCAAUGGGCGAAAGCCUGACGCAGCCAUGCCGCGUGAAUGAUGAAGGUCUUAGGAUCGUAAAAUUCUUUUACCAGGGACGAUAAUGACGGUACCUGGAGAAAAAGCCCCGGCUAACUUCGUGCCAGCAGCCGCGGUAA